GGGAAACACUGGAAGGAAACAUUUUUACCCCGCCUUCCCAUUCAGGAAUCCACUACGGCUGUUGUCUACUGUGUUUAAAGCAAGAAUAAAAGUAAAAUUUGAAAGAUUAUCAAAGUUGUUAACUUACAUCUAUCAACAUGUUUACAUUUCAAUUUAACAUUUUCUUCAUAUUCCGGAAUAUAUUUAUGGGAGAUAAAAUGCUGCUUUUCAGCUAAUUUUUUUCAGGAAAAUUCAAGAGCAAAACCAAGAAAAUCAAUCAAU